rnacentral:rRNA from 1 species
GGGUUUUGGAGUUCGCUCUAUACCCUUUGUGACAUACCUAUAACUGUUGCUUCGGCGGGUAGGGUCUCCGCGACCCUCCCGGCCUCCCGCCUCCGGGCGGGUCGGCGCCCGCCGGAGGAUAACCAAACUCUGAUUUAACGACGUUUCUUCUGAGUGGUACAAGCAAAUAAUCAAAACUUUUAACAACGGAUCUCUUGGUUCUGGCAUCGAUGAAGAACGCAGCGAAAUGCGAUAAGUAAUGUGAAUUGCAGAAUUCAGUGAAUCAUCGAAUCUUUGAACGCACAUUGCGCCCGCCAGCAUUCUGGCGGGCAUGCCUGUUCGAGCGUCAUUUCAACCCUCAAGCUCUGCUUGGUGUUGGGGCCCUACAGCUGAUGUAGGCCCUCAAAGGUAGUGGCGGACCCUCCCGGAGCCUCCUUUGCGUAGUAACUUUACGUCUCGCACUGGGAUCCGGAGGGACCCGUAAAACCCCCCAAUUUUCCAAAGGUUGACCUCGGAUCAGGUAGGAAUACCCGCUGAACUUAAGCAUAUCAAUAAGCGGAGGAA